rnacentral:rRNA from 1 species
GAUGAACGCUGGCGGCGUGCCUAAUACAUGCAAGCCGAGCGAACGGACGAGAAGCUUGCUUCUCUGAUGUUGGCGGCGGACGGGUGAGUAACACGUGGAUAACCUACCUAUAAGACUGGGAUAACUUCGGGAAACCGGAGCUAAUACCGGAUAAUAUUUUGAACCGCAUGGUUCAAAAGUGAAAGACGGUCUUGCUGUCACUUAUAGAUGGAUCCGCGCUGCAUUAGCUAGUUGGUAAGGUAACGGCUUACCAAGGCAACGAUGCAUAGCCGACCUGAGAGGGUGAUCGGCCACACUGGAACUGAGACACGGUCCAGACUCCUACGGGAGGCAGCAGUAGGGAAUCUUCCGCAAUGGGCGAAAGCCUGACGGAGCAACGCCGCGUGAGUGAUGAAGGUCUUCGGAUCGUAAAACUCUGUUAUUAGGGAAGAACAUAUGUGUAAGUAACUGUGCACAUCUUGACGGUACCUAAUCAGAAAGCCACGGCUAACUACGUGCCAGCAGCCGCGGUAAUACGUAGGUGGCAAGCGUUAUCCGGAAUUAUUGGGCGUAAAGCGCGCGUAGGCGGUUUUUUAAGUCUGAUGUGAAAGCCCACGGCUCAACCGUGGAGGGUCAUUGGAAACUGGAAAACUUGAGUGCAGAAGAGGAAAGUGGAAUUCCAUGUGUAGCGGUGAAAUGCGCAGAGAUAUGGAGGAACACCAGUGGCGAAGGCGACUUUCUGGUCUGUAACUGACGCUGAUGUGCGAAAGCGUGGGGAUCAAACAGGAUUAGAUACCCUGGUAGUCCACGCCGUAAACGAUGAGUGCUAAGUGUUAGGGGGUUUCCGCCCCUUAGUGCUGCAGCUAACGCAUUAAGCACUCCGCCUGGGGAGUACGACCGCAAGGUUGAAACUCAAAGGAAUUGACGGGGACCCGCACAAGCGGUGGAGCAUGUGGUUUAAUUCGAAGCAACGCGAAGAACCUUACCAAAUCUUGACAUCCUUUGACAACUCUAGAGAUAGAGCCUUCCCCUUCGGGGGACAAAGUGACAGGUGGUGCAUGGUUGUCGUCAGCUCGUGUCGUGAGAUGUUGGGUUAAGUCCCGCAACGAGCGCAACCCUUAAGCUUAGUUGCCAUCAUUAAGUUGGGCACUCUAAGUUGACUGCCGGUGACAAACCGGAGGAAGGUGGGGAUGACGUCAAAUCAUCAUGCCCCUUAUGAUUUGGGCUACACACGUGCUACAAUGGACAAUACAAAGGGCAGCGAAACCGCGAGGUCAAGCAAAUCCCAUAAAGUUGUUCUCAGUUCGGAUUGUAGUCUGCAACUCGACUACAUGAAGCUGGAAUCGCUAGUAAUCGUAGAUCAGCAUGCUACGGUGAAUACGUUCCCGGGUCU